rnacentral:rRNA from 1 species
GCAAGCGUUGUUCGGAAUCACUGGGCGUAAAGGGCGUGUAGGCGGUCAGGUAAGUGGGACGUGAAAUCCCUCGGCUCACCCGAGGACCUGCGUCCCAAACUGCUUGGCUUGAGUAUGGGAGAGGAUGAGGGAAUUCCUGGUGUAGCGGUGAAAUGCGUAGAUAUCAGGAGGAACACCGGUGGCGAAGGCGCUCAUCUGGCCCAAUACUGACGCUGAGGCGCGAAAGCUAGGGGAGCAAACGGG